AAACAGUUGGUCUCAAGGGAAAAGGGCUGUACAUAUCUGUGGGCUCUUCCUCCUGCUCCUGUCACCACAACAACUAGUGUGUGGAGCACAACUAGCCUGACCCUCUAAAUGCAGCAGUCCAAUCCCCUAAAAAAUAGAAACGGGGUUUCACCGUGUUAGCCAGGAUGGUCUCAAUCUCCUGACCUCGUGAUGCGCCCGCCUCGGCCUCCCAAAGUGCUGGGAUUACAGGCGUGAGCCACCGCGGCCGGCCAGCAUAGGAAGCUGUUUCCCGCAUUAAAACAUGGUAUGUAUAGAAAACUCAAACAGGAAGACAAAACAUCAAGAAAAUUUUUAAGAUACAGGGGUAAUAAUUCAUUCAAUAAAUCCGG
rnacentral:lncRNA from 1 species